UUCGAUUCUGGCUCAGGAUGAACGCUGGCGGCGUGCCUAACACAUGCAAGUCGAGCGAGAAAUCGCUCAAUGAUCUUCGGGUGAUUUGAGCGAUGGAAAGCGGCGGACGGGUGAGUAACGCGUAGGUAACCUGCCCCAUACAGAGGGAUAGCCACUGGAAACGGUGAUUAAUACCUCAUAACACCGGAAUACCGCAUGGUAUACCGGUCAAAGUUUUUUCGGUAUGGGAUGGACCUGCGUCUGAUUAGCUGGUUGGUGAGGUAACGGCUCACCAAGGCGACGAUCAGUAGCCGACCUGAGAGGGUGAUCGGCCACAUUGGAACUGAGACACGGUCCAAACUCCUACGGGAGGCAGCAGUGGGGAAUAUUGCACAAUGGGCGCAAGCCUGAAUGCAGCAACGCCGCGUGAACGAAGAAGGCUCUUGGGUCGUAAAGUUCUGUUCUGAGGGAAGAAGAUCUGACGGUACCUCAGGAGAAAGCCCCGGCUAACUACGUGCCAGCAGCGGC
rnacentral:rRNA from 1 species